rnacentral:rRNA from 1 species
AUACGGAGGGUGCAAGCGUUAAUCGGAAUUACUGGGCGUAAAGCGCGCGUAGGCGGCUAUGUAAGUCGGAUGUGAAAGCCCUGGGCUUAACCUGGGAACUGCAUUCGAUACUGGCAGGCUAGAGUAUAGUAGAGGCAAGUGGAAUUUCGGGUGUAGCGGUGAAAUGCGUAGAUAUCCGAAGGAACAUCAGUGGCGAAGGCGACUUGCUGGACUAAUACUGACGCUGAGGAGCGAAAGCGUGGGGAGCAAACGGGAUUAGAUACCCCAGUAGUCC